CGGAUGAACCGGGUAGCCACUCCGGCAGAGCGCUCUGCCGGGGAGGAAAGUCCGAACAUCAAAGGGCAGGGUUCCUUGAGAAAUCAAGGGCGGUCGUUUGGCCGACGGAAAGUGUCACAGAAAAUGUACCGUCCCGCUCCGGCGGGAUAAGGGUGAAAAGGCGAGGUAAGAGCUCACCACUCCGUUCCAUACGGAAUACCCUUGCGGUACCAAAGGCGGAGGUAGGACAAACCCAAUCUGAUGCAAGACCAAAUAUAGAAGGAUCCCGCUUUGCGGGAGCGUACGGCCCGGUACGCGUUCCGUAAGGGAACACACUUCAGGGUAGGUCGCUUAAGUCAACUGGCAACGGUUGACUAAGAGAAAUGGCUACCGUCCCGCUGCGGCGGGAUACAGAAUUCGGCUUACAAGUUUAUCCGGACC
rnacentral:RNase_P_RNA from 2 species